CUCAUCUUGCGGUACUCAAACUAUGGGGGCACUUUUUUUUUUAAUUUAAAAAGUGCCGCCUAGUUUUAAGCCCCGCCGGUUGAG
ensembl:miRNA Mir290a microRNA 290a